UGAACGCUGGCGGCGUGCCUAAUACAUGCAAGUCGCGCGAACAGACGAGGAGCUUGCUCCUCUGACGUUAGCGGCGGACGGGUGAGUAACACGUGGAUAACCUACCUAUAAGACUGGGAUAACUUCGGGAAACCGGAGCUAAUACCGGAUAAUAUAUUUAACCGCAUGGUUCAAUAGUGAAAGACGGUUUUGCUGUCACUUAUAGAUGGAUCCGCGCCGCAUUAGCUAGUUGGUAAGGUAACGGCUUACCAAGGCGACGAUGCGUAGCCGACCUGAGAGGGUGAUCGGCCACACUGGAACUGAGACACGGUCCAGACUCCUACGGGAGGCAGCAGUAGGGAAUCUUCCGCAAUGGGCGAAAGCCUGACGGAGCAACGCCGCGUGAGUGAUGAAGGUCUUCGGAUCGUAAAACUCUGUUAUUAGGGAAGAACAAAUGUGUAAGUAACUAUGCACGUCUUGACGGUACCUAAUCAGAAAGCCACGGCUAACUACGUG
rnacentral:rRNA from 1 species